AAACUAACAAGGAUUCCCCUAGUAACGGCGAGUGAAGAGGGAAAAGCCCAAAUUUGUAAUCUGGCUCUUUUAGAGUCCGAGUUGUAAUUUUGAGAACUGUUUUCCGUGCUGGACCAUGUACAAGUCUGUUGAAAAACAGCAUCAUUGAGGGUGAAAAUCCCGUACAUGAUAUGGACUACCAGUGCAAUGUGAUACAGUCUCUAAGAGUCGAGUUGUUUGGGAAUGCAGCUCAAAGUGGGUGGUAAAUUCCAUCUAAGGCUAAAUAUAGGUGAGAGACCGAUAGCAAACAAGUACCGUGAGGGAAAGAUGAAAAGAACUUUGGAAAGAGAGUUAACAGUACGUGAAAUUGUUAAAAGGGAAACAUUUGAAGUUAGACUUGUUAUUGUUGGUUCAACUUCUUUAUUGAGGUGUAUUCCAAUGGUUAACAGACCAGCAUCAAUUUUUGGGUGUUGGAUAAGGGUUUAGGAAAUGUAGCAAUUUCGGUUGUGUUAUAGUCCUUUACUUUGAUACAAUGCUUAGGAUUGAGGAACGCAGUAAGCUUUGUAGCAGAUUUCUUUGGAGAUCUUCUUACUA
rnacentral:rRNA from 1 species